CCUCUUCGAUCUGCUGCGGGCAGAUGAAGUGAAUGUGGGAAUCGAAGCCACCUGCGGUGAUGAUCUUGCCUUCGCCGGCAAUAAUCUCCGUGCCAGGACCGAUAAUGAUACCGACAUUGGGCUGCACAUCCGGAUUGCCCGCCUUGCCGAUCGCCGCAAUGCGCCCAUCUUUGAUUCCGAUAUCGGCCUUCACCACGCCCCAGUGAUCAAGGAUCACUGCAUUGGUGAUGACCGUAUCGACGGCUCCCGCAGCCCGUGUCGUCUGCGCUUGGCCCAUUCCGUCGCGGAUG
rnacentral:sRNA from 1 species